UACGAAGGGGGCUAGCGUUGUUCGGAAUUACUGGGCGUAAAGGGCGCGUAGGCGGCGUGACAAGUCACUUGUGAAAUCUCUGGGCUUAACCCAGAACGGCCAAGUGAAACUGUUGUGCUAGAGUGCGGAAGGGGCAAUCGGAAUUCUCGGUGUAGCGGUGAAAUGCGUAGAUAUCGAGAGGAACACCAGAGGUGAAGACGGGUUGCUGGGCCGACACUGACGCUGAGGCGCGAAAGCCAGGGGAGCAAACGGG
rnacentral:rRNA from 1 species